rnacentral:misc_RNA from 1 species
GAUGAAGAACGCAGCGAAAUGCGAUAAUUAAUGUGAAUUGCAGAAUUCCGUGAAUCAUCGAGUCUUUGAACGCACAUUGCGCCUCAUGGCAUUCCGUGAGGCAUGCCCAUCUCAGCGUUAGAAAAUAUUCUCAAAUUUUAGUUUUGUGCUAAAAUUUGGAUCAUGUCAAGGAAGCUAUUACUAUUAUUGUGAUCGCUCUUUGGAAAUUGAUAGGUCUUUGAGUUGCUACUCAUAGAACGUGAUGAAUCUUUCUUCGUUCUAUUGUAAUUCACUCUGGUAGUCCUAAAACGUGUAUGCCUGUGGCAUAUCUUGUAAUUUGACCUGAGAUUGGGUAGGGAUACCCGCUGAACUUAAGCAUAUCAAUAAGCGGAGGA